rnacentral:rRNA from 1 species
CCCAGACUCCUACGGGAGGCAGCAGUGAGGAAUAUUGGUCAAUGGCCGAGAGGCCGAACCAGCCAAGUCGCGUGAGGGAAGACGGCCCUACGGGUUGUAAACCUCUUUUGUCGGGGAGCAAAGCGAGUCACGUGUGACUCAUUGAGAGUACCCGAAGAAAAAGCAUCGGCUAACUCCGUGCCAGCAGCCGCGGUAAUACGGAGGAUGCGAGCGUUAUCCGGAUUUAUUGGGUUUAAAGGGUGCGCAGGCGGAGGUGCAAGUCCGCGGUAAAAUGCGGGGGCCCAACCUGCGUCCGCCGUUGAAACUGGCGUUCUUGAGUGGGCGAGAAGUACGCGGAAUGCGUGGUGUAGCGGUGAAAUGCAUAGAUAUCACGCAGAACCCCGAUUGCGAAGGCAGCAUACCGGCGCGCAACUGACGCUCAUGCACGAAAGCGUGGGUAUCGAACAGGAUUAGAUACCCGCGUA